rnacentral:rRNA from 1 species
GACGAACGCUGGCGGCGUGCUUAACGCAUGCAAGUCGAGCGGUAAGGCCCCUUCGGGGGUACACGAGCGGCGAACGGGUGAGUAACACGUGGGUGACCUGCCCUCAGCUCUGGGAUAAGCCUGGGAAACUGGGUCUAAUACCGGAUAUGACUCCAUGACGCAUGUCGUGGGGUGGAAAGCCUUGUGCGGCUGGGGAUGGGCCCGCGGCCUAUCAGCUUGUUGGUGGGGNGAUGGCCUACCAAGGCGACGACGGGUAGCCGGCCUGAGAGGGCGACCGGCCACACUGGGACUGAGACACGGCCCAGACUCCUACGGGAGGCAGCAGUGGGGAAUCUUGCGCAAUGGGCGAAAGCCUGACGCAGCGACGCCGCGUGAGGGAUGACGGCCU